rnacentral:rRNA from 1 species
UACGUAGGGGCCGAGCGUUGUCCGGAUUUAUUGGGCGUAAAGAGCUCGUAGGCGGUUCGGCAAGUCGGAUGUGAAAUCUCCACGCUUAACGUGGAGGGGCCAUUCGAAACUGCCGUGACUCGAGUCCGGUAGGGGAGUGUGGAAUUCCCGGUGUAGCGGUGAAAUGCGCAGAUAUCGGGAGGAACACCAGUAGCGAAGGCGGCACUCUGGGCCGGUACUGACGCUGAUGAGCGAAAGCGUGGGGAGCGAACAGG